rnacentral:rRNA from 1 species
GAUGAACGCUAGCGACAGGCUUAACACAUGCAAGUUGAGGGGCAGCACGGGAGUAGCAAUACAACUGGUGGCGACCGGCGCACGGGUGAGUAACGCGUAUGCAACCUACCUAUCAGAGGGGAAUAACCCGGCGAAAGUCGGACUAAUACCGCAUAAAACAGGGGCACCGCAUGGUGAUAUUUGUUAAAGAAAUUCGCUGAUAGAUGGGCAUGCGUUCCAUUAGGUAGUUGGUGAGGUAACGGCUCACCAAGCCGACGAUGGGUAGGGGAACUGAGAGGUUGGUCGCCCACACUGGUAGUGGGACACGGACCAGACUCCUACGGGAGGCAGCAGUGAGGAAUAUUGGUCAAUGGGCGGGAGCCUGAACCAGCCAAGUCGCGUGAAGGAAGAAGGAUCUAUGGUUCGUAAACUUCUUUUGCAGGGGAAUAAAGUGCGGGACGUGUCCUGUUUUGUAUGUACCCUGAGAAUGAGGAUCGGCUAACUCCGUGCCAGCCGCCGCAGUAAGAC